GACCGUUGAUACAAAGCGAGAGGAGCAAGGACUCUCUGAAGGAGGGAGUGUCUCUGUGAUUGGAAUUAAUUGUAUAGGAUAGUCAUGGAGGGGUAUUGCAAGAAGCCAAGCAUCUCUCCGUACGCACCACACUUCACUGAGUUUUAAUCAAUUGAUACGCCCUUUAGUUUUACGCUGAAUCAUGUCGAUCUGUGCUCUCCGUUUAUUGUCCAAGUGAGUGGGCGAAGGGGAAAGGGUUUCAUUCAUCUCAAAGUAACAGCAUUAGCAAUGUCAGAGGGAAGAGGAGAUGCACCUAUUGUUAGGAGGAGGUCAGCCAGCGUGGGACCUGUCAGCGUUGAGAGGAAUAUUCAAAGAGAUGAGGACCAGGGUGAGGAUGGUGAUGAGGAAUUCCGGGAUGAAGGUGUUCCUUUCUACAUUAACCGAGGGGGACUCCCUGUCGAUGAGGCCACCUGGGAUAGGAUGUGGAAGCACGUUGCUAAGAUCCAUCCUGAAGGAGAGAAGAUGGUACAAAGUAUUCGAGGAAUGCCGUACCUCCCCAAGGUUCCAAUACCAUGUGUGCCUACAUUUCAGCUGCCCACGCUUGUUCCUGACCGUCUGGAAGCCAUACAGAGAUACACCAGGGAAUUGCAGUACAAUCACACUGGAACACAAUUUUUUGAGAUUAAGAAAAACCGACCUUUAACUGGCCUGAUGGAUCUAGCACGAGAAAUGAUUCGAGAGUCUCUACCAAUCAAAUGCUUGGAAGCAGUGAUUUUGGGGAUUUACCUCACCAACAAUAUGCCUGGAGUAGAGAGAUUUCCCAUUAGCUUCAAAACUGAAUUCUCAGGGAAUUACUUUCGCCACAUAGUGCUUGGAAUCCACUAUGCUGGACGUUUUGGAACACUGGGCAUGAGCCGGCGUGAGGACUUGAUGUUCAAACCCCCAGUGUGCAGGACUUUAAUUGAUCUCAUCUCCGAGUUUGAGAGUUCCUACAAAAAAUGCUGGCACACGCUGAAGAAAGUCAAGAUUGGACAGUAUGUGUCCCAUGACCCCCACAGUGUGGAGCAGAUUGAGUGGAAACACUCAAUCCUUGAUGUAGAGAAGUUGAGUCGUGAGGAACUGCGCAAGGAGCUGGAGAGGCAUACCCGGGACAUGCGGCUAAAGGUCAUGAAGGGAGCAGCCGCGCCAUCAUCCCCUACCCGCGACAGGAAGAAGGAUUCAUCAUCACCCCAUCGCAGUCAGUCAAGCCCGCAUCGCAGGAAUGGCCGCAGUGACAGACGAUCUUCGGGAGAGAAGAAAACAACGGAGCAAAAAAACCUUAACGAUGUGGGCUACCAGAUCCGUGUGUGAACAUUCCACAGUGCAGUCCAAAUGUGACCAUUGCAUUGUACUAUUUGCAGAGAUCUUUAUCAAGUCCAAAGAAGGACUAUGCGUGCACUGAACUGAACUGAACUCUCAGAAUCCGAGUGAAGGAUGCCACAGAGUAUUUGAAAGUAGUGGUCAGCAGUAUUAAACCAAUUGUGACUUUUUACAUUUUUACUAUAUAUUUUCUCUAAUAUGUUUGACAAUAAUCUUUCAAUUGAAAUGAGUUAACAGCUCAUUAGAAAAGUUUAGAUUGAACUAAGAGCUGAAAGGAAACACUUUUGAUAAUACAUUGUCCCAAUCCUUUUGGGGUGGUUGGAAACCCCACUUGGAUGGUCUGAGACGUAGAGUUUUUUAACCAAUGUUUGCUCCUCGAAAGGUUCAGGGGGUAACUAAGACAGCGAGCCAUACGGACAAGAAAAAGACCCAGACUUUAUCCUUAGUCUGUACAGAUGUCAACCAGGGAUGCAAUAAGUUCACUUCAAUUACCAGCCUCCCAGAAUAGAAGAAUCAACCAGGGCUCCCAUUCUGCUGACUGCCCGGUGACCCUAAUGUAUUGCAGUUGGGUGAGGACAGUGUUCGACUUUGACCCGUUAAGCCUAAUUGCUCCCACGCAACACCUCACCAAAGAGUCAAAAUUAGCCACUAAAACCAAAUGCGCCUCCAUCACCCUCCCCACCCAGAAAUUCAAGGUUUUUGGAGUCUAGUCACAAACUGAGAAGCUGUUGAUAUUUUCUUUCUCCUGUAUGUAUGGCAGAAGGAUCCAAAUUACUUUGACCUCAUUUCACGAGAAACAACUGUCUUUAUUAACCUGCCUAGCUUAUACUUCAGAGAUAAUAAUGCAUUCCUUUCAGCAAAAUAUCACAGCUUGACUUACGUCCUCAUUAGACCUAGUGAGUUGGGAGUGAAUUUUGAGCUGUAUUAUACAGCCCCAAAACACAUCAGUGACUGUUAUUCCAUUUUGUUAGAGAAUUCCACAUGCUUUUCUUGUCUCAAGGGAGCAGAGCAUUCUAAAGUGAUAUGUUGAUUUGAAAAUAAGGAGAAAGAAAAUUUCUUUUAUACAACAAGAGGAAAAGUUAUAUGUUGGCCCUGCCCCACUUCAUUCUCAUAUACCAUAAGUAUCCCAUGCUGCAGGCUCUCUGGCUCUGUUUGGCACUAAGGUUUGUUGCUGAGUCGGGUUUGCAUGUAUUGAUAACAUUGGGCAGAUAAAGUUCAUUUUGCUUCUGCCCGGUUUCCUGUGUUUCUCAGACCCUCCAGGAUUUACAUUUACUAAGCAUAUAAAAAGCUAGUAUACUGGCAACCAUGUGACAAUGAUUGUUAUAAAAACCUACCUGGUUCACAAAUGUCUUUUAGGAAAGGAAAUCUGCCAUCCUUACCUGAUCUGACCUACAUGUGACUCCAGAUCCACAGUAAUGUGGUUGACUCUGAACUGCCCAAUGGGCAUUAAAUGCUGGCCUAGCCAGCGAUGCUGACAUCCCAUGAAGGAAUAAAAGAAAUGCACUUCUGAAUUUUAUAUAUUCUCUUUGCAACUCAAUAAUUCAAUUUUAUUUAUAACUUUUCCUAUUUGCAACACUUGACCAUUUUAAUUUUAUUACACAAUUUUAUUUAUCUUGAAUAUUGAUAUUAUCCCUUUCCUUUCUCUUUUUUCCUUUAUUUUCUUUUCUACUUAAACUGUGAAUUACAAAUUACAAUUAAAAACAUUAUUUUAAUAAUUGGGAAAUGUUAGGCUCACCAAUCCCUUCACUUUUUUAAAACCCUCCAAACUCAUAUUCUUGCAAUUUUCCCACCAGAAACACACCUAAUUGCCUCUUAACUCUGUUCGUGUUCUCUGGGAGUGCUCGACAGACCAUAGUUUGCUUUACCUCAGAGCCAAAUCAGCUUGACAUUCUCGAUGUGCUGGUUUGACUUUUGCUUCCAGAAUAUGUAUUGAUUGGUGAAUAACUGGGCAUCUUGGAUGAUGCACUGUGUGAAGAAUGAACCUUAUGAUGCAACAGUAAGAACAGUCUGCUCUGUCUGUAUAUUAAAAUAGAACUGGCAUUCUGAUAUCUUUCCCCUUUUAGCCACCUUAGCCACUAUUUGUAAUGGAUUGCCCCACCAAUGUUGUCAGCUGUUUUGUUGGUUGUCAGGUUGUCCUUACUAACUGGACGUUAAUUAGGAUAGCAUAUUUAAAUUAAGAAUGUUAUUGAAGUUUCAAUUUACCAUGAUUUUAAUAUAUUUAAAACUAUAGAUCUGACUUCAAUCUUUUUUUUGAAAGGCCAACUUUCACACUGAAAAGUGGAACUAGAUGAAGAAUCCAUGAACAUCUCCAGGGGUACAGAAAACAAAUUCAUGUGAAGACAGAGCUUUGACAUGGGAAAUAGUCUCCCAGGAAAGCAGUCUAUUAACAACCGGACCUGGUGAAAAUCUGGUUAUGCACAAGAUUAAGGGUAAGUACAGAUGGACAUUAGCAGUUAUUUGGGAAUGAUGUUUCCUGAACUGCUACAUACCAAGGUAAGCAGCCCAUCAGAAGUAAAUUUUGUAUCACACAUUGCUGGAUCCCAUUGUGAUUUAACUUCUGGCACUGCUCCAUUAUGGAAUCCAGGAUAGGGGUGCCAAAUGAUAAUGGGAGGAGAUUAAAUAGGGUAGGAUAUAUCUGCUCUUAUGCUGUGGAUUGUAUUGAGGCUGUAAACACAGAUUUGAAUGGGUUGUUAAGUCUAUGAUGGAGUUUUAAGUUAUCCACAGCGCAGAAACAGACCAUUCAAUGCCAGUAUUCCAUGUAAGCCUCCUUCUCUUUCAUCUAAACUCAAAUACAUAACAUUUUAUUCAUUUCGUCAUCUUGGUUUUCCAACUUCCCCCUUAAAUGUUUUUCUGUUUUUCAUCUCACUGACUCUUGUGGUAAGGUACUGCUUAUUCUCACCAUUCAGUGGGUGAAGAUUUCUGCUGAAUUCCUCCUGGAUUUAUUAAUGACUGACUGACUGUUAUGUUUACGGCUCCACUUCUAAGUGGAUCCAUGAUUGAAAACAUCACCUCUACAUCUAUCCUGUCAAACCCUCUUAAUGCUAAGUACGUCAUCACUAUUUUCUCAAGAAAAAAACCCUGCUAUUGCAUGAGAGGAAAGAACUGAAGCCCAAUGUUUAUUUCCUAAUAACUCAGUAAUUACAAAUGAAUCUGGAUGUGAGUUUACUCGCUGAGCUGUAAGGUUCGUUUUUAGACGUUUCGUCACCAUUCUAGGUAACAUCAUCAGUGAGCCUCCGACAAAGGCUCGCUAAAAACUCAAAACUCGCUAACAAAUGAAUCUUUUUACACCUUCUCCAAGAUUUCAAUUUCCUUUUUAUAAUCUGUUCACGGUAGUCCAAAUAUAAUCUAACCAAGAUGCUGGGCAGGUUUUAAUGUAGCUUCUCGACUUUUCAAUUCUAUCCCACAGGAAAUGGAUCUCCCCCCACACCUAUAUCACCACCACUAAUUGCUUGGUUUGUUUAAUUCAUUGGCUCAUUGGAUAAGCAUAUGGACGUACAUGGAAUAGUGUAGGUUAGAUGGGCUUCAGAUCGGUGUGACAGGUCAGCACAACAUCAAGGGCCGAAGGGCCUGUACUGUGCUGUAAUGUUCCAUGUUCUAUGUUCUUUACUAACUUGGAUUGUUACUUUUAGUACUCUGUGCAUUAGUAUUCCCAGAUUCCUGUGUUCCUCUGCCUAUUUGGAAAAGUGGGAGUUUAACCAACCAUCACCUUUAAAGUAACAUGGGACAAUAGAUCCCACAGCCAAACAUUGAUAGUUAAGAGAAGCAGCAAUGUUAUGAGCAGAGGAGCAAUGCUGAUUGGAGCAACAACACUUCUUCCUCAUCCUUCUGCUGCUUCACAGGAUAGUGGGGAUUAAUAUGGAUCUCCAGUUCAGAGGAGAUCCCUUUGGGUAUCCCCCCCAUAGGGUAUACAAGCAGAUUAAUUUUAAAGACUGAGCACCAAUGCUUCAAGAAGCUCCAGCAUCUUCAACAGAUCAUUACUGGCGUUUCCUGCCAAGUGAGCCAGGUGGGCACACCCUCAGUGAGGCUCAAGGUCACCACAGCCCAACAUUUCUGUGUUGUUAGCUCCUUCCAAAGAUCUACUUGUUACAUGCAGGAUUUCACAAUCUGCAAAGUAACGGGUACAUCUAUCUCCCUGGUGUUUAAUGCAAUGCUUGCCACCUACAUGCACACCUCCAAACAGCAUUUAUCAAAUACAAUGGAUUACAUGCCAAUAAUGUUUUUAGCUGCUGUAUGACUAGAUUAUCAUGCUUGUCUGUGCAAGAUGACCAGGAACCUGCUAUAAUGACUUGAUUCUAAGCUGGCCAUUGUUCUUCACACCUCCAACAAUGACAGGUGAUAGCUCCUCGAAGAUCAGUUCUACCUUCUAAAUGCUAACAGUAAAUGUGACAAUCUGGCAUUCUUUUAAAUACCCAACUAAUUUCUCUCGUGGAGCCACAAUUCUUCCAGUUAUUUUUAUGUUGUGUAACUGAAGUAGCUUCAGAAAAACAUGAGACAGACUGCUCAUCAUUUCUGAUGAAGGGUCUAGGCCCGAAAUGUCAGCUUUUCUGCUCCUAAGAUGCUGCUUGGCCUGCUGUGUUCAUCCAGCUCCACACUUUGUUAUCCCAGACUGCUCAUUCUCCUGCUGUACCUGCUGAGGUACUAGUGGUCAAUUUUAUCUUCGUUUUGGAGUCUGUGAGGAUGCUGCUAAACAUUGAACCUAACAAGGGGCAGACUUAGUCAUGAACAGGAGGCAACUGACCUCCUGACUUGUCAUGGAGGCAGGGGGAGAAGUGAGAACACCUUGGGCAGAAUCCCAUUUUUCUUUGAGGCGUUUCUUUAUCUUCCUUUGUGGCUCAACCGUACCUCCCUGGUGGUUAAGAGCUGGAGGUCACUUACUGCAGUUCAGUGCUGUACAAUGACCAGAGCAAGGCCAUAUUCUGUUCUGGUUACACCAUCAGAUUAGUGUGAAGACCCAAAGACAGUCUGGCUAUGUGUCAAUGGUUCUUCAUUUCUUGGAGGUGGAUGUCAGUGCAAAGGACUGAGAUAUUGUGACAUUUGUUUUGGAGAUGGAUCAUUCCAAUCUCUCUCCAAUGGUGCAUGUUGCAGCUAGAAAUGCUGACCAAUCUUUGCACAUUUUCUCUCUCCAAUUCAUGGAAUGGUUGAAUUGUUAUCACACAGAAGGGAUCUAUUCAGUCAGUUUAGCCUUUACUGGAUCUGGCAGAGCACUUCAGAUUCCACUGUCCCACCCUCUUUCUCCUCUCCCUGUAGCCUGUUCUUUCUUUCACUUCGUAUAUAUCCAACCCAAAACAGAAACCUUCUUCCAUUAUGCUUUCAGGUAUUGUAGUACAUUCUAGAUCAUAACCACUUGCUGCAGUGGAACUAUUACCAGAUCAUAUGGAAGACUAUUGUAAACCUUCUUGCAAUCUGAGGAGCAAUCAUUCACAACUAUUCUCUGUUCCUUUCACACUAUCUAAUUUGGUAUCCAUGUUGUUGUUGUCCCUCUUAUUCUAUGUGCUUCAACUUUGCCAUGUGACUCUUCAACAAAUGUAUUUUGAAGUCCGUAUACACCAAAUGAAACAAAUUGCUUUUCAUUAACCAUCUCUGUUAUCUCACCAAAAACUCAGUAAAAUUUGUUAAAUUUAACUUCCUUUUAACAAAUCCAUUCUGGCUUUUCUUAAUUCAACUACGCUUGUGCAAGUGAUUGUUAACUUUGGCCUAGACUAUAAUUUCUAAAAUCUUUCCCAUCACCAAGGCUAAACUGACUGGCCUGUAAUUACUAGGCUUUGUCUUGCUUCCCCUUUUUGAAUAAGGUGUGCAGUUCUUCUCUGGAAUAGUCCCUGCAUCUAAGGAGAUUAGAUAAUCAUGGUCAAUAGCUCUGCAGCUUCUAUCUUACCUUCUCACAUUAUCCUCCUGCCAUCUGAUCUAGUCCUGGUGAGUUUUCAGCUUUAGAAGCAGCCAUUAUUUUUAACAUCUCCCUGCUAUCAAAUGUUAGCUGAUCUUAUUUCUCAAUUUUUUCCUCUCUUGGUAUGACUUUGGCAACGUCUUCUUCCUCGACAAGAACAGCUACAAACUAGCUCUGAGAAUUUUCCUCUUUUCUCACUGCGUGUUGUAUUCUUAAAAAGUUUGUAAGAAGCUGCAACAAGUAAUUAGGAAAGCUAAUAGAAAGUUAUCAUUUAUUGCCAUGGGAACUGAAUACAAAAGGAGGGAGGUGAUGGUUCAUUUAUGCAGAAUAUGAACGAGACUGCAUCUGGAGCCCUGUAUUAGUCUUGUUAUUUAAAGAAGGAUGUAAGUGCAUUGGAAGUAAUUCAGAGAUUUGCCAGACUAAUACCUGGAAUAUGUUAGUUGUCUUACGAUGAAAGAAUACGCAGGUUAAGAUGAAUCUACUGGAAUUUAGACUAUGAAAAUAAGACACAUCCUAUUUAAUACAGUUGAGGAGAUUUUUGUUCUUGCAGUUUUCUCUGGGACUUUGGAACACUGUCAGAGGGUGGUGGAAGCUGUAAUGAUUGUAACAAGGUCCGCCAGCUGGACCUCAUUGAAUAUGUGAUCCCUGAUUGGGCUGUUAAUCUGGUUCACUCAGGGAACUCUAGCUGACAAAUAAAAACGGGAGCUGUAGCAGUUCUGUUCACUCUGACAGCUGGCUCUGAGGGAGCUGGAACAUUGUCAAGGACGCUCCACCUUCAAAUAAAGGGUGACUUGGUAAUGGGAUACCAGCCUUGUGGAGUUGUUUCAAUGGCAACAAGAGAAAAGCAUGCUCCUGAAGAAAUUCACUUGCAACAGUUGUCUUUGAGUUAGGGGAGGCAUUGCUGGCAUCAUGCCAUACUUAGAAAGCUUGUCUAGAAGUUUGACUAGUUUGAUCCUGCCAUUGUAGACUGGGCCCAGUAUGUGGAAAGAAUGCUUUAUUUUUUCCAGGAAAUGACAUUGACGUUGGGGCAGUUCAAGAGCAACGAGUAAUUCAUCUGACACCUUGUGGACCUGCUGUUUUUUUUCAGUUAUUAGCAAGUUAAUGUUCCCUGAUGGCACCAGAUACUAAAACCUUCCAAGAGUUGACAGAUUUAUUUAUGCACUAUUGCGACCCCAAGCGUCGCCGCCUUUUAUUUGAGAUGCUAUCCGUUUUACUCGGCAAUUCCAGAACCACGGGAAUCCGUGUUGGAAUGUUUAGGAUUAGGAUGACUAGCUGAGUAAUGUGAUCUUGGUUUAACCCUCAAUGAGAUGUUGAGAGACAAUUUGGUACGUGGGAUUAAUGAUGCAACCGUGCAAAAGCGACUACUAGCUGAAGCCGAACUAGACUGCAAACAGGAAGUACAGUUGGCUUUAUCAUUGGAAAAUAGAGCAAGUGGAGAACAUGAGUUGCAUGGUAUUCCAGUGGAAGUGGAUACCCUCACCAGGCUGAUUGAGCUUGGGGAAUGCUACUUGAGUAAUUGCAUCAUCACGCUCAGGAUAUAUCCUGGACAGCCCACAGCAAAACCCCAAAACAAAGCCAAGCCUCAGCCAAACAGUUAACGUUUUCAACAGGAACUGGGCCAGCAAGCUAGUGCACAGACUUGAGACAGCAAAGGAAGCCUAUGGGGCCUGACCUGAAUAAGAGAACUCACAGACCAAUAUCUAGGACAGUGUGCACCCUGGAAAGGCCACCUACAUCUGGCUUGGAGCAGUUACAUUGCUUAGCAACGUCCAAAUCAGAACCAAUCAGAAUAAACAUCUGGUUACAUAGACACCUGGUUCUCGUGGAGGUCGAUACUGGUGUGGCUGUACCAGUGUUUACAGAACCAAUCUUUAACAAAAUUCACUCUGGACCUUUCAGUUUGCGCAAGACCUCGGCUAGACUGAGAACCUAUAGCGGGGAAUCUUUACAGGUUAAUGGGACAAUUUCGGUUCCAGUCUCCUGUGAGGGGCAGUUGGUGCGGCCCCCACUGAUUGUAGUAAAAAGCUCUGCCCCAAAGCUUGAUGGGACAAAAUUGGUUAAAGACGGUUGACCGAGACUGGCUGAAUAUCCUUCGAUUAGAAAAUGCCUGCCUGAGUGAAGUCCUAAUUCAAAUCGGGGAAGUUUCUCAGGAAGGAUUAUCAAAGGAGCCAAGGCCACCUUGAAUGUUGACCAGGAAACAAUUCCGCGGUUCUGCCAGGCCCGCCCAGUGCUGUUAAAGUAGAGGUAGAAAUCAGGAGGCUGGAAUGCAAAGGAAUCAGCAAACCAGUCCAGUUCGGGCAGCACCAUUCGUACUGAUUGUGAAGCCCAAUGGGUUGGUUGGCCUUUGUGGAGAUUUUUAACAACAGCAAACCACUUUUCACAGCUGGAUAAAUAUGUAAUCUCUCGCAUCGAAGAUUUAGACACAAAGCUGCCGAGGGGGUGCUGUUCUUCACAAAACUGAACACGGGCUAUCUGUACUUGCAGUUGCAGUUAGAUGAGGAUUCCUAAAAGUAAGUUACAAUUAAUACCAGAGACAAUGGGAACUGCAGAUGUUGGAGAAUCCAAGAUAACAAAGUGUGGAGCUGGAUGAACACAGC